GAAUUCCACCAUGACCUUCAUCGUGCGCAGUACAUUGGUGCGCACCGUGCCACUCCGGGUGUAUCGUUCGAGAACAUGAGUGAACGUAUCACGGAUUUUCGCCGCAAAAGCGUUGAAAAGUGGUAACUUGACCUACCUUUGAAUUACUGACACUGCAAACAAACUGAUAACCUCUCAAACAAAAAACGAUCGCAAGCGAAACGUUUAUCAAUUUGUGAGUGAAAGCAGGAAAAACCUCCUGGCUAGGCGACGCCGAUAAAAAUGCAAUUAAUACUUCAAGGUGCACAGCUUUGAACGUUUUGUAAAUAGAAAGUUCUCGGAUUGUAGCUAAAGAAGCUAAAGUUAAAAAGAGCGAGUCGACGUGCCGACGUUGUUUAUAUUUGCAGCAUGCAACUUUGUAUGUUCGCCACGGAUGGCGCUAGCUGUAUCGAAAUGAAUCAGUGAAAUGAAUUAAAUCGAAAAGUGCAACUACUCUACAUAUAUUCCUAAUAAGUAUAUAUGUAUGAUAAAAAAUUAGACGCAUAGUUAUUGUGUUAAAACUAAACCAUUUUUUAAAAUUU